GCACGUAAUGGUGGGCACUCUAAGGAGACUGCCGGUGACAAACCGGAGGAAGGUGGGGAUGACGUCAAGUCAUCAUGGCCCUUACGGCCUGGGCUACACACGUGCUACAAUGGUCGGUACAGAGGGUUGCCAAGCCGCGAGGUGGAGCUAAUCCCAUAAAACCGAUCGUAGUCCGGAUCGCAGUCUGCAACUCGACUGCGUGAAGUCGGAAUCGCUAGUAAUCGCGAAUCAGAAUGUCGCGGUGAAUACGUUCCCGGGCCUUGUACACACCGCCCGUCACACCAUGGGAGUGGGUUGCACCAGAAGUAGCUA
rnacentral:rRNA from 2 species